AUUGAACGCUGGCGGCAGGCCUAACACAUGCAAGUCGAACGAGUGGCGGACGGGUGAGUAAUGUCUGGGAAACUGCCUGAUGGAGGGGGAUAACUACUGGAAACGGUAGCUAAUACCGCAUAACAUCAGCUGUGCCCAUAUGGGAUUCGCGAGUUGGUGGGGUAACGGCUCACCAAGGCGAAGAUCCCUAGCUGGUCUGAGAGGAUGACCAGCCACAAGGGAACUGAGAAACGGUCCAGACUCCUACGGAAGGAAGCAGUGGGGAAUAUUGCACAAUGGGCGCAAGCCUGAAGCAGCCAUGCCGCGAGUAUGAAGAAGGCCUUCGGGUUGUAAAGUACUUUCAGCGGGGAGGCGUUACCCGCAGAAGAAGCACCGGCUAACUCCGUGCCAGCAGCCGCGGUAAUUC
rnacentral:rRNA from 1 species